rnacentral:lncRNA from 1 species
CUUAUUUUUUGGUUCUCCAUAACCGAAUGUGUGCAGCUCUCCUUGUAGGUUUUCUUGUGUUGAUAUGGUAGUUUUCAAGCCUUCGAAGGAGAGGAUAAGCAAAUCGCCCUUAGUUGGGCGACUCACUUAUGCGGGUGGGCAGUGGACCUCCUUCUUCUUGGCCCUGUUCUUCCUAAACCAGCAUGGCCGAAUGCUUUCUUGCUUCUUUUUGGGAUACAAGUUUGGGCUCAUUGGUGAUCCAAGUCUAAAGUAAAAUAGAAGGCUUUUUAGAAGCCUUUAGCUCUUGCUCAAGUGAUAGGUCCCUCCUAGAAUUGAAUCUUCUUUCCUACUUCUCU